rnacentral:rRNA from 1 species
GACGAACGCUGGCGGCGUGCUUAACACAUGCAAGUCGAACGGAAAGGCCCUGCUUUUGUGGGGUGCUCGAGUAGCGAACGGGUGAGUAACACGUGAGUAACCUGCCCUUGACUUUGGGAUAACUUCAGGAAACUGGGGCUAAUACCGGAUAGGAGCUCCUGCUGCAUGGUGGGGGUUGGAAAGUUUCGGCGGUUGGGGAUGGACUCGCGGCUUAUCAGCUUGUUGGUGGGGUAGUGGCUUACCAAGGCUUUGACGGGUAGCCGGCCUGAGAGGGUGACCGGCCAUAUUGGGACUGAGAUACGGCCCAGACUCCUACGGGAGGCAGCAGUGGGGAAUAUUGCACAAUGGGCGGAAGCCUGAUGCAGCAACGCCGCGUGCGGGAUGACGGCCUUCGGGUUGUAAACCGCUUUCGCCUGUGACGAAGCGUGAGUGACGGUAAUGGGUAAAGAAGCACCGGCUAACUACGUG